GCCGGGUCAGCUCAGUUGGUUAGAGCGUGGUGCUAACAACGCCGAGUUCACAGGUUCAAUCCCUGCUCACUGCA
rfam:Pelecanus crispus contig71721, whole genome shotgun sequence.